rnacentral:lncRNA from 1 species
CCUUCAGCUGUUCCAGACCUUUCCAGAGCAUAAUCUGGCAGGCCAUUGGCUGGAGGGUACAUGGCCUGUGCAUGGGCACUGUGUGAACACUGGUUGGCCUGCUUCGGUGACUCAAGGAAGAUGUUCAUACGUGAGGUCCCAAGAUUAGAGAAUGUACAUGUUCAAGACAUCAGCAACAAAGACAUGAAGUUUAAAAACCAAAAAAUGACUAAGAGGAAAAAAAGCACAAAACUGAAAAUACAUGGCAGAGAUCACCCCAGGAGGCCUGAAGAGAGUCAUUGGAGUGACUGCACACAGUGGGACAGCACUGUGCACUCUGUGU